AGUGAACGCUGGCGGUAGGCCUAACACAUGCAAGUCGAACGGCAGCACAGUAAGAGCUUGCUCUUACGGGUGGCGAGUGGCGGACGGGUGAGGAAUACAUCGGACUCUACUUUUUCGUGGGGGAUAACGUAGGGAAACUUACGCUAAUACCGCAUACGACCUACGGGUGAAAGCAGGGGAUCUUCGGACCUUGCGCGAUUGAAUGAGCCGAUGUCGGAUUAGCUAGUUGGCGGGGUAAAGGCCCACCAAGGCGACGAUCCGUAGCUGGUCUGAGAGGAUGAUCAGCCACACUGGAACUGAGACACGGUCCAGACUCCUACGGGAGGCAGCAGUGGGGAAUAUUGGACAAUGGGCGCAAGCCUGAUCCAGCCAUACCGCGUGGGUGAAGAAGGCCUUCGGGUUGUAAAGCCCUUUUGUUGGGAAAGAAAAGCAGCAGGUUAAUACCACGCGGUUCUGACGGUACCCAAAGAAUAAGCACCGGCUAACUUCGUG
rnacentral:rRNA from 1 species